CCUACGGGAGGCAGCAGUGGGGAAUAUUGGACAAUGGGCGAAAGCCUGAUCCAGCAAUGCCGCGUGAGUGAUGAAGGCCUUAGGGUUGUAAAGCUCUUUUACCAGGGAUGAUAAUGACAGUACCUGGAGAAUAAGCUCCGGCUAACUCCGUGCCAGCAGCCGCGGUAAUACGGAGGGAGCUAGCGUUGUUCGGAAUUACUGGGCGUAAAGCGUACGUAGGCGGUUAUUCAAGUCAGAGGUGAAAGCCUGGAGCUCAACUCCAGAACUGCCUUUGAAACUAGAUAGCUAGAAUCUUGGAGAGGUGGGUGGAAUUCCGAGUGUAGAGGUGAAAUUCGUAGAUAUUCGGAAGAACACCAGUGGCGAAGGCGACUCACUGGACAAGUAUUGACGCUGAGGUACGAAAGCGUGGGGAGCAAACAGGAUUAGAUACCCUGGUAGUCCACGCCGUAAACGAUGAUAACUAGCUGUUCGGGCUCUACGAGCUUGAGUGGCGCAGCUAACGCAUUAAGUUAUCCGCCUGGGGAGGUACGUCGCAGAUAACUACAAGAGAGUAGCGNGNGAGAGCGACGACGACGACGACGAGGAGGAG
rnacentral:rRNA from 1 species